GCAAGUUCAUUCUCAAAGCGCAGCUUCCGCGGGAAACCGCGGUUGAAAACUGCAGGAGAAUUGCUGGAAGCCCUAACGUGGAUGCGCGGGUAAUCAGCAGCCGAGUCCCGGAAAACCGGGAAAGGUUCAGAGACUAUGCACCUGCUGCCUAAAGCGCUAAGCCAUGGCAAAGAUAUAGUCCAAGUCCGAAAGCAAUUUCGGG
rnacentral:ncRNA from 1 species